GCCCUGGUGGUGGAAUUGGUAGACACAAGGGAUUUAAAAUCCCUCGACGUUCGCGCUGUGCCGGUUCAAGUCCGGCCCGGGGCACCA
rnacentral:tRNA from 2 species